rnacentral:lncRNA from 1 species
GGAAGGUAGUACUAGAAAUUUGGUGGAUUUGACCUUGUGGCAACAAGGGAGGUCACGUGGAGGUGUACAUUAUUGUAAAAGAGAGUGGGUGCUUUUAUUUACUAUCUUAAUUCAACUAACUUCAUUGAAACUACUGACUUUACUUCUUUUUACUUAUUCCAUACGUACUUUACUUUGAGAACUCCAUCCAUCCGACAUUUUUGUAUCAUCUAUGUUUCUAAAUUAAGAAAUCAUACGACCCUUUGGUAACUAUUUACUAUUUGUAAGUUGUUUGAGAUGUAAAUUAAGAGUGUAAAGGCACAAAGGCACAGUAAAUAAUAAGAGUUCUCAGAUAUAUCUUUUACUAGCUAAGAUAUAUGAAAAUAGUAUGAAAAAUAAACUGCACCUCAAAUGGCCCUUUAAUUUUUUUUUUUUUUUUAUCUUUUUAAAUUUUGAAAACAGACCUAUUCACCUCAUGCUUUUCAUAUAUAUUAAGUAAUAUAGUUGAAUUCUUAGUAAUAAAUAAAUAAAUAAACUAAAAAUUAUUGUUUUUAAUUUUUGGAAUGUGAUUUGAUUAAAAUCGUUCAAAAACAACACAACAAAAAUUACUUCAUCAAAUAGUUACAAAUGAGAUCUAAGUAAUUUAGUUUGAUAAUCAUUUUGUUUUUUUAAAAUUAAACUUAUAAUUAUUACCAAUACCUAUAAAAAAAUAGCUUUUUCUGUUUUGAAAUUUGGCCAAUAACUUGAUGUAAAUCAUUUUUAAAAAAAAGAACAUCAACAAAAAAAAAAAAAAAGAAAACAAAAUAGAGGUCUUAAAUAUUUAGUUUCCUUGGUGUCCAACACAGUCUUCAAGUUAAGUAAUUACAUAUUUAAAAUUAUAAGUUUUUAAUCUCACCAUAUUAUAAAAACCCAUAAAACCCUUUCAGAAAAAAACCCACAAAACCAAUGAUCUAUAGACAAGAUUAUCAUGAAUACCCAUCACAUAUUUAUUGAACCAAAAUAUGAGAAGGAAAGGUCACAUUUCCAAAACCUAUUCAUUCUUACAUUAAUACUUAUUAUACAAACUCAAGUUUUUCCCAACUUUAUAUAUCAUAAUAAAUGGACUCAAAUGGCUUUAAAAAAAUCAAAUUAUAUCUCUAUAUGAAAAACUGGUAUUUGGAAGUUCUUUUUGAGCAAUGAUUUAAAAUUUACUUAUAACUCAAUAAGUAUACCUUUAAUUUAUCCACCAAAUUUUCUGCAUGCAAGGUAUUUUUUUUACAAAAAAAUAAUAAGAACAUUUACAAAUACAACAUAAUAAAUCAAAUAUUCACAAAAUAUAUCAAAAGCUCAUAAACAAGUCUAUAUCAAUAUUUGUAUUUGUAUUUGAAAAAAAAAAAAGAAAAGAAAUAUACCCAUAUGGCCCAUGGGAUUUAAUUUCAAUAUUUUUUAUUAAAAAAUCCCUUUUUAGUCUUUGAACAAUAUUCAAGGAAACAUCAAUCUCAAUGAAAUACGUGUAAUUUUUUAAAUAUCUUAAAAACUUUAGGACAUGAAAUAUAUAUAUAUUUUUAGUUUUAAGUAUAACAUUGAAUGACAUUUAAUAAAUUUCUCAUAUAUCAAAUAACAUACUAAAAUUGGAUACAAAUAUAAUUUUUUUUUUUAAUUUGACAAUUUAAUCAAAAUAAAAAAAAAAUUAUUACGCUUUGCUUAGUCUAAAUAUAAUCUAACUUAACUAAAACACUAUGGAAUUAAGAAAUGGAAAAAAAAAACGAAAAUAAACGUAAAAGUUAAGUAAACAAACGAAAGCCUAAGAUGAAAACGCUCACAAUAUUUUAAUAAUCUAAAAACAAAUUAUAAAAAAAUGGAGCCAGCCGCGUGAACUCCAAUGUCGCCAGAAACGGCGGUUCAAUCAGAGAAACGAUCACCGUCAAAUACUAAACUAUUUCGACGACAAAUCCAAGAUUCCAUAGAAACCGGCCGGAAUACCGCUAUUGAUUUCCAAAACAAGGGCGAUACAAAAAGCGGUUUCCAGCCGUCAAUUAUAGAAAGAAAGAAAAAAGGAUUCGGGUUGGAAUUUAAAGAUGUAGAGAGAAAGAGAAAGCGGUACAUACCAUAAGUGAAACCGAGGAUCGACGGUGUGGAAGAGGAGUCGCCGGAGCAGGAGAAGAGAGAGGAAGUGUUGAAGGUUGGAGGGAAAGGGAAUGGAAAUAGAGAGAAGAGGGGGGAAAAGGUGUGUGGAGAGGGAAUAAGAAUUUGGGCGAUUUAAAAAGAAGGGAUUGACCAAUCAAAAUUUAGAGCGAAGGGAAGAUGGAACAAUGGAAUGCGCGGUGGUUUGGUUGCUUUUUAUAUAUUAUAAUAUUCCUGUUUUAUUUAUUACGUCAGCAAUGUCUUUUAUUUUUUUUUAAUAUAUAAUUUUUGGAUUAUUGAUAAUUAUUAACUAUGAAUAUUUUUAGAAUCAGCUUUCUAACCAUUUCCCAUUUCUUUCUUUUUCCCUUAUCUUUUAUUUUCAAAGAUUAGGUUUGGUUUUUUCUUCUUUUCCUUUUUUUCUUCUUUCAAAUAGUUAACUUAUAAAAUAGUAUAUUUUUUAUUUGAUCCUGUUUUUUAAUUUUUUUUGUUUGUCUUCUUAUAGCUUUCCACUUUUUUUUUUAAUUUAGUAUUUUUAUUUGUUUCUUUACUUCAACAAAUAUGAGCAUCAGAAUUAAAAUUUUAAAAUGUAUAUAUUAUUUUUUAUAUUGGAUUACCAGAAAAUAUCAUGUGCUCAAUCAGUCAAGAAAAUUAUAAUUGGAUACCCUCACCCAUUUUAGAAGCAAAACUAGCUUAGACGUGAAAUAGAAAUAAGAUUGUUUUUUAUUCGGAGGAGGUCAUCAGUUGGGCGGAUAAUGGAUUCGUCGAUGAAUCCAAUCUUGUUCUUCAUUGAGAGGCCAAUAACAAUUGAGAAGCUCCAAGAAACGUAAUUUUUUUUAGUCUAAGUUGUUAUGUGACUAACACUAGAUUUUUUGUGUUGUGAUUAUGGUAUAGAAAAUAGGGAUUUAGAUAUCCUUGAUUUUGAUCAAAAAAGGUUUGGGGAGAGGAAUCGAAUUGACUGGGAAUGAAAUUUUCGUGCGAUUCCAAAGUGGUAUGUGGAAGGUUGGUGAGAGGAGUUGUCAUGAUGGUUAUGAUUUUGGCGAAAGAUGGUGGAGAUGAUGGUCGAAGGAAGAACAAGAAAAAUUAGGAGGAAAGGGUAUUGCACACUCUGAUAUCAUAUUGAAUAGAGUUGGAAAUUAGAAUGCUUUCACUCGUUUUAUUCACUGAUCAAGAGUGAAAUUUAUAGUAAUAUUUACAACGGUGAUUGUACCUGUAAAAGGAACUAAUUUUUAACUAAUUAAGAACAGAAACUAACUAUUAAAAUAAACAAUUUUACUUCUUCUUAAAACUAACAGUUAACAUAAACAAUUUUACUUCUAAUACCUAUUAUUACAAACACGAGGAAUAAAAAAGACCUCCCAUAAACAUUUAUUUGUUGCAUUCAAUCGCAAAUUUCUUCCAGUAUCGUAGAGUUUCCUUUUAAUUCAUGAGUUAAAAUUAAAGAAUCUAGUUCAAGCUAACAUUGGAUAGCAUCAUUUUAUAUUCAAAAAACCUCCUCGGCCUCUGGAAUGGCCUUCAAAACCCUACCAUGGGAAUCACGAAUUGUGACACCGAAACCCAUCCUUCCCGUUGGAAGACUUGAAGCAUCAAAUGUUCAUUUUAAUCUCUUCUUCCUCCGGCCACCUCCAUCUUCUAAUCUCCUGAUCAUCACCCAAAUUCGACACUUUUCCCAUUCCAUAAUUAAUUAAUUUUUGUUCUCUUUAGGUACCAUGUGGUCAACUAAUGGCCACUUAUACUUAAACUAUUCACUUUUGUUCAAGUCACUUUAUAAAGGUAAAUAUGUACAAAAAUUUAAUUUGUUUUAUACCCAAAUAAGUUAAUAUUUUCAUUGUAAAGAGUUCAACAUUAAAGUGAAAGGUGAUCGGUGUUUUCUUAUAUAUCACACAUAAAUUCAUGAAACAUAAAAAUAGCAAUGAAAUUUCGUUAUCGUUGAUAUAAUAAGAAACAACAAACAUAUUAACUCUAUUCAAAUUCAAUGAAUCUAUUUAAUUAUUGUUGAUAUAAUAAAAAACAAUAAAGGUUUAUUUAUCCAUUUAUAUAUAUAUGUAUAUUUAGUUUUGUAAUCUUUCCUAAAACACCAAUCUAGAGAUAUUUUCAUGUUAGAUUAAAAUUUCCACCUUGCUUAAGACUAUAACAUUUAUAAGAAAAUAGUUUUGAAAUUGGCCGAAAAACUAUUAUUUUUUAUGAGAAAUAUUGUAAAUUUUUUAAAAAAGAAAUGGUUAAAAAGUAGAUUAUAACUACAAAAGGUCUUCUGGCAAAAAAAAAAUGAAUUAAAAAAAAAGUAGCUAAAAAUCAAAUGUUAAUGAAUUAGUCGUAAAAUUAAUUAGUCAAAACCCCCAAUCCCAUCUUUGUAACUCUUUCCAAAAGUAAAUUUCCAACAAAAUAACGAGAUUGUCUAAUAAUCUUAAAUUAAUUUUUCUAUAAUGUAAGUGACAAUAAAAUUAAUUAUCAUUUCAUCAACAUUAUCUAAUAGAUAAUAGAUUUGGGUGAAUUCACUAAAACUAAUUAAAGCCAUAAAUAACUAAGAGAAACUUAUUGUAUUUUAAUUUUGGCCAUCACUUUCUAAAGGUAAUUUGUAUUUUUUUUUUUUUCUUAAAGGAGGUGUUGUUAUCAGAUUAAUUACAUUCACAUAUAUAUAUAUAGAUAGAUAGAUAUUCUUUUUCUUUUUAUGUCUGCACGAUUUUAAAACAAGUUAUAUUGACACAUAACAUUACUAUCAUGUUUUAAUCAAACCAUUGGUUUUUGUCAAACUAUAUAAGCUUUUAAAUCAUCGUUAUUAAAUGUAAUGACCCCAUGGAUUAAUCAAAAUGGAAUUUAUAUUUUUCUAAAAUUUAUAUUCGAUUCAAAUCAACCAUAACACGUUCCUAUCAUGAUCAGUUCCAAAAAGAAAAUCAUAUAUGUUUAAUUCAUAAUUUUCCAUUUUGUUUGUAAGAGGAAAAAAUGAUUGGGUUUUGUAAGAAUGAUAAUAAAAGGCAAAUUAUUUAUACCUCACAACCCAAUAAAAGAAUGAUAAUAAGCAUUUAAUUAUUUAAAUAUUGUUUUACAAAUUCUUAUCUUAUAGUCGACACCUCAUCAUGGUGUUGUCACAAAACCCUUGUAAUUGUCAUCUAGGAAUAGGAAUUGGGACAGAACAAGUCACUUUAACUACAAUAAAUUCAAUUCUUUUUUUAAAAAAAUUGAGUAUAUGAACAUCAAUUUUUGUUUUUGAAAUUUGAUUAAAAAUUCAACUGUUGUUUCAAAUCAUUGUAAAAUAUAGAAAGAAAAUAAAAACAGAUUGUUACUAAGGAAGACCUCGAAUGAAUGAUUUUAGAAGAAUUGAAAUAAAAUCGAAUGGUGAUAGAGUUUUAGUUAAAAGAGGAAAUAUUACAAAUAAGUUAACCAGAAUCCAACAAACCACACAUCUCAUAGAAAGAGGAGAACGAAUCGGAUACAAAAGAAAACCCUAACAACAUUGCCGGAGAAGGAAGAAGACGGAAAACAAAACAAGCCAAUUAAAAACUUGGAUAUUCAAUUUAAAAAGUUUUUUAUGUAUCUAGUAAUACUAUUAAGCAAUAAAAACAAUUUUUUUUUUCUUUUGAAUCUCAACUAAAAUUAGUUAGUUUUAUGAACAUGUUUAGUUUACCAAUUUUGUAUUGGAAAAUUAUAGAAAAUAAUACAAUUUAGGAAAUAAAUUCAAAUUAUAGUACAAUGAUAAAAUAUUUGUAUAUAAAUAGUAAAUGAUGAGUAAUUUUUUUAAAAAAAAUGUCAAAUCUACCCUUUAGUAACUUAUAGUAAUUAACAAUUGGUACGGAGUUUACAAAGAUCAAUUAUCACUAAUAGUUAUCUAAAGUUUUUUAGAUAGAGAAAUUUAAAAAUAAGACCCAAAAGUAACCAAACACAAUCCUAAAAGUCUUUGAAAUUAGACUUGAUAUAUACAUAUAGGAGUUGUUAAUUAGAUUUGAAAGGUGGAAGAUAGGAAAAGUGUAUAAGAAUGUGAAGAUAUUAAUGUGUACGAGAAGUAAAAGUUUCAUAUUUGUGGGAACCCCUCAAUACCGUGUGCAUUUAAUUUUUUUUGUUUCUAAACAAUCUAGACCUUGCCGACGCCGGUGCCGGCGCCGGCAUCAAAGCCCAUAUCAUUUGACCUUUAUUUGAACCUCUCAAAGUCUCAACUUCAUGUGACAAAAGCCAAUCCUCUUUGACCAUCUUUCAAUCCUUUUAUCCCUUUCCCACUCUAAUUCUUUUCUUUAUGAAAAUAUGUUUCAACACAUAACCCUACGUUGUAACAAAAUAAACUAUAUAUCGUUAAGCUAUUGACAAAAACUUUAUAAUUCGAUAAGAAUAAUCUAAAGAAAAUGAAACUAUCACGAGCUAAUUAGAGGGUUAGAAAACUAAUUUAGUAGCUGAUAAAAUCACAUGAAUGUAUAUAUUGGUAGUGUUAACUAUUCCCACUGAAACCAAGUUUUUUAUAAUUAGUUUAUAUGUUUAUUGUUUGUUCACAUUUCUUUUUUAAAGAAGAUUCUGUCGAAAAAGAAAAUGCUUUGACUGGUACAAGAGUGCAAUGUGAAUAGAUUAAAAAUAUAAAUUUCACAAUGAUACUCUACUUUUCCUUUACAUUAUUAUUACAAUUACUUAAUUGCAUUUAGACAUAUUGAGAUGUAAAGAAAAAUAAUACUCUUAGUACAUAUUCAAAUAGAAUUUUAGAAUUAGGGAGAAGGAAGAUAGAGGUAUUAUAUGAAAAGAUAAUGCAAGAGGGAAUUGGAUCACAUUUUAGAAAAAUAAAUAAUUACAUUGAAUUUCAUCUCAGCACAAUUUAUUCUAAUUUAGUAGUACAAUUUUGCAUGUAAUUAAUGAAUUUAACUUACAAAGUAAACAUAUAUGUAGUUCAUUAAUAUAAAUUGUAUAACUUCAUUCCCCUGGAUGUUCAAGUUCUAAUUUUCAAGGUUAAAACACUUUGAAAGGCAUAUAAGAAGGGUCAUAAAAUUAUUCAGAUUUUUAGUUUUUAUUGGGAAAAAAAACUUUAUAUAAAGAAUAAAAGAUGUUAGGUUUAUUCUAGAUUGCUUUUUCCUUCUAGAUCCCAAACUUUAAAGUAACUUUCAAUAGUUAUGUCUUAUAUACUUUAAAUCCAUUCAUUCUUUUACCUUUUUAACUUUGAAAUAACUUUUACAAACCAAUAUGUUAGUUGGAUUUUAUGAAGGAAGUGAUGCUUCUAUAAAGAAAAAAUGUAAUGCGUUCUAUUUUAGGAUACAAUUAAUCAUGAAUAUGAUAAUGUAUUUAGGGUGAAUAUUAUCUUAAAGAGAUAAUGUCAAUUAUUUCUUGCACUCAAAUUCUCACAUAAGUAGAAAGAUCGAUAACUUUUUUAAUUUUUGAUGACAUAUUCAUAUAAUAAUUCAUUCUACCAUUCAAAGAUAUUUGACAUAAUAUUUGUACCAAUAAUGGUCAUCUAUACGUACCAUUAUUGAAGAUGAUAGAGAAGUAGUCACUUUCUAGAAAUAUUCAAAUAGUAGUAUGAAAAAUAUUAAUGAAUUUAUUGAUAACAUAUAUGUAAUUGAAAUAUUUAUAUAUACUUUACCCUAAAAACUAAAAAGUCACUAUAGGACAAAAGCUCAUGCUUACACAUAAUUUUACUAUAAAAUAUUAAUAUUAGGUUAAUUUUGCUAUUUUUGACAAUUUUUCUAAACUUUUUAAAAACUUUAGAUAAAUUUUGAAAUGUUUUAAAAAAUAACAAAAUAUAGAAACUAUUUAUAUUUUAUAAAUAUUUUGUAAAUAUUUUUUUUCUAUCUAUAACGAUUCUCACUUUCUUCUAACAUAUUUUUUAAUUAUUAAAAAGUAGCAUAGUUUUAUAUUUUACUAUUUUAAUGCACUUUUUACACCAUCGAAAUUAAUUUUAAAUGAUAAAAAACACAACACACUCUAAUCAAGAAGUAUAAUCCAUUUGUUACUAUGGUAAAUUUAUUGAAAUAACUCUAUUGAUUCAAGAUCGAAAACUAUUAUGUAGAUUUGAAAUAAACAAAUUACGUCGUGAUCCAAGAACAAAAAAAUGAGCAAAACUUUAAAUCUUAGAAUAUGAAAAGUUAAAUCAAGUUGAGACUACGGACAUAAACUUUGACUAAGUCCACAAUUUAAAUUAUCGAUAUUGAAACCGUACUUUGAUGUUUAUUUUUAGUGUUUUAGGACCAUUUUAGCAAUGUAACGAAAAUAUCAACUUUCAUCAGAGUUAAUAUUAAAGUCGUACUUAACUAUAUUUCAAUUAUGUCAACAAGAAUUUAUACAAUAGAUGACAUGAACGAAUUUGUUUCUAAAAGCUAAAAUUACCCAAAAAUGUACCUUCUUAUGCCAUAAAUAAUGUUUUUGUUGGGUGCAAAAUAUAUAACAAAUUAAAUAAAUAAAUAAUGUCGAUUGUAUCCAUCUCUAUGCUUCUCUUUUCAUGUACAAAAAAAAAAGAAUUAAAAAAUAAAUAUGUUUUCAAAAAAUAGUUGGAUGCAACUUAGGUUAUGCAUUAGUCUUCGUUCAUCUCCAUUAAAUCACUCAAAAAAUAUAUUUUUUUUAAAAGAAGUUUGUCACGUAACAAUUUUGUGAUUGAACACUUGUUAGUAGAUUUGAACCAAGAUAGGUCCUAGACAGACUAAAAUCUCAUAUCUUAGUAGUCUUUAGGUUUGAAGUUUAGUUUUCUUUAUCGACAUUUCUAUGUUUCAAAGUGUUACAUUUUUUGUCUUUACGUAUUGAGUUUGUAUCGAAUAUUUGAUAUUAGGUUUUAAAUGUUAAUUUACACUUUGAUUAUCAUUUAGUUUUAAUGUCUAUUAAUUAUUUUAAAAGAUUAUUGACUCAGUUUGAUUAUCUUUUUCAUUCACUGUUGAAACCAAUCUUAAAAUUUCACUUCUUCCAUCACUAUCUUAAAUUAUUUAUUAAAUAUUAAUUAACGAAUGGGAUUGAGUAUUAUUGUAAAAAAAAGUAUUAUAAAUUUAAAUAUUAUUGUAACACAAGCAGCAAAUUAAAAUAAAACUCAAACUCCACGCAUGGAAUUGCAACAUUUUUAUAUAUUGAAGUUAAACUCAAAAUUUUUAAAGAUUAAAAUCGUAACAAUAGUUUGAAUCCAACAUCAAAUGGAUUGAUCUACUGUUAUCAAUAUCACAACCCUAUCAAACCAGUAAAACAAUACAACACAUAUAUUAAAUAUAUGAUCAGGCCAACGAAUUCACGUUGUCUCCUUAAAACUAUUUUAUUCAGACUAAUGCUCGAGUUUGAGAGUAAUUGUAUCACAUGAUAGAACAUAUUAUUUUUCUUCUAGAAGGAGCAUCACAUGUAGAAGAUCAAUAACGAACAAAAACUUUGUGGAUGUACCGAACUUUUUUCUAACGAUUUUGAAAAUGAAGAGAUAUACUUUUUGGCGAAGGUAAAAUUAUAGAGAACCAAAAGCCAAUUUGUGGUCAUUCAAAUAGUUGUGUCAUUUCUUUAAAUUGGUUAUUCUCGUGAAAUGAAGCAGUCAUUUAUGAGAGACGUCAUUCCCAAGAAAAACUACAACAUUUUUAGAGAUCGAAACUAUAUUUUUCUCUCAUUAAUAAUAAAAUAUAAAUGUGACUAAAAAGCGUAAGCAAAAAGUGAAAUUUUGCAUCUUAAAUGAUAAAUUCAGGAGGAGUCUAAAGGAAGAAGAAACAAACAAACUUGUCCUUGUUGUGACAUUUAAGACCAUCACAGACGAGUUUUCCCCUUAGACCAUUUCCAUCCUUUUUAAAAAAGGACGGACUGAUCAAGAAAUUUUAGACUACUCAAUGUUUAUAAAAUAUAAACUUUAAAUUUCGUUGUUCUACUAAGUCAACUAAUAAAUAUUUAUUCAACUCUUUAUCGAUACGUAAGAUAUCUUCAGAGGACACUGGCUCAAAUUAUAGAUUUUCCAUUUUCAAUUUUCUAUCAAAUAAACCCUUCAACUUUUUAGAAGUUUGCAUUUAAUUCCUUCAUCUUUUCGUCGAAAAUUUAUGUCUUAUGUGUAAUCAAAUCAUGCUUAGGUUAACAAAUUUAAUUAUCUUACUAAUUUAACUUUUGAACUAUAUAAUAAAAUUUUCACUUUUUGCUUUGCUUUUCGAUCUUUUCAUCAAUUUUAAAUUUUUAGCAUCGUAAUUAUCUCAAAUUAAUUUAUCAACGUUAACUAGCACCAAAGUCUAGAGUUUGUACAAUGCUAAAGAAAUCAAUAUUAAAAAUAUAAAUAUCAAAUCCUAAAAAUUAAAUUAACCCAAAACUCAAAAUUUAAUAACAAAAAGUCUUUUAAACUAAAUUUAAAUCAAACUCAAAACUAAAAACACAAAUAAGCAUUAAAUUCAAACUUAGAAGAAAAGAUGAUUUUUUUCUCACAAUGACAUUCAUGCCAAAAAGAUAUAUUAGGUGAAAUUCAAACUAUAGAAAGAAAAAUGAUAUUUAUAAGACAAUUUUAUUUGUUGUUGGAGAUAGUAUAUAUAGUAAAUGAGUUAGAUGAAUUCGUGGGUGAAUAUUAAUGGGCACUAGUGGUUGGGUUUGGCUCUGACAAAAGUCACAACCAAUUAUUAAUUGGAUGCAUGCAACCUAUAGCAGACGUCAAGUUACCUUAUCAACAUUACUAUUCAAUAUCAUCCUCUUCGUUUUUCUCUCUUUAUUUUUUUAGUUUUAAGUAGAAUAAUUGGAGAGUGAUGAUGGAACCUUCGAGUUCAAGGAAAACAACCUAAAUUAAUUAUAGUUGAGAUAAAUUAUAUUGUAUUUGCAAGUAUCUUUAUAUGUUCGUUCUUUUGUUGGACUGUUACUUUUUUUUCUUUUUGUUUGUUCAUUUUCGUUUUCGUUCAAUGUAGGGUGAGUAAAGAUUCAAAUACUAAAAUCAAUUCUAGAAUAAACGUAAGAUAAACUAUAACAAAAAUCAGUAAAACAAGUGAGAGAUCUUGGAUUUGGAAUUUGAGGAUUUACGCACACUUCCAUGUCCGCCCUUGAAUCAAGGUCAAUUCAAUCAGUGAUUCCUCCUUCCACUUUCUUGCUUUCUUGUUCUCAAAUUCUUUGCCCCGUCCUCCAGACUAUGAACCACAUAGCAUUGCUCACUUCCUAUCUUUCAAAAGUUGUAAUAUAUAUUAUUCUUGAAUCUUUGAUAAAUGAUUUUUUCAACAAUUACCGUAGAAUCCAUUAAAUUAUGAAUGUUAAGAUUUUCACACGGAAUCCAAGCUUGGAAUUGUGUGACGAUGACCGACUUAAAUCGGUGCAGUGAUCUAAAUUUUUAUUUUAGGUCACAUGUUGGCAUGCAACAUCAAUUUAUGUCAAAAGUACUAAAGAAUUUCUAUUUCAACCAAAAUUUUGAAAUGUUCAUGAAAAUUCAUAGUAAUAUGGCUAAUUUUUAAAGAAUAUGAAUAAAAAUAAUGGUAAAGUUUGUAUAUUUAGAAUUGUUUAUAGGUUAGUUUUUUUUGUGAAACAUAUGAUUUGCUUGUAAAAUGUCUUUCUUUUCAUAAAGUGAUGAAUAUCUAGAUCUAAAAAUUUGAGGAUCGAAUUAAAACAAAACUCAAGUCUCGAAGGUUAUAAAACUAUAAUAUUUUAAAUUUUAGUGACUAAAUUAAAACCAAAUUCAAAAUUUAAAAACUAAAUGUGUAACAUUUUUAACAUUUUAAGACUUAUAAGUACCAAAUAAAAACUAAAUCCAAAACUUAAGGUUAAAAAAGUUUCAUAUUUUUAUAUUUUUUAAGAAAAUCAAAACAUGUGGUUGUAUUAAAAACGGUCGACUAGAAGAUGGCUUCGGGAAGGUGACAAAACAACAAAUAAAUAAUGAAAGAGAAGCAACUAACAUGUAAACUAGAAAUUUAUCUUGGCUAUGAUUUUGCUUCAACAAUCGUCCUACGAUAAGACAAAUCGAUGCCAUCUUAGAACAAACCUCCACCUUCAAAAGUAUAGGUGAGUGUUAAACAAUGAGUUAUGGUAGGUCGAUAUUUAUGAUCGAGUAUGUGAAUUUUUUGACUAAUUGUUAGGGGCCAGUUGAUGCAUGUAUAUAGUUGUACACACAAGUUGAUGUGGAUUGAAGAUUGGGUAAAGUAUGGGCCAUGAAAUCACUUUAGGACAACUAUUAUUAUUAUAAAGUCACACCAUGUGAAUAUAGAAAGAGUCCAUGCAAACAUAAACAUUAACAUUAAUAAUAGUAGCCUUUGAAGUCAAAAAUUAAAAAAUUGAAAAAACAAAAAACAAAAGCCAACAAUAAUAGCCCCCAACCCCCACCAAAUAUGAUAACAAAACUAUUCAAAAUUGCUUUUGAGUAAAAAACUACAACAAAAAUUUUAAUGCUAUAGGAAGUAACUAUUGAUUUAGAUUUGUGUUUGGCUUUGUUUUUUAGAGUCUUAUAAAUGAAAGACUUAACUUUGAGUAGUAGUUGGAAAGAUUGAUUUUGCAUAAAUUUGUUAGAAUAAUUUUUUUGUUAACCAUAUAUGUAUAUUAAAAUAAUUGAUUAGGCUAACAUAACGACCAAACAAUACAAACAACCGCGCCAACAACACACCACAUCAAAAGAGAGAAGAAAACACCAUCUAGAAAACUAUAUCUUUUUCAAAUUAACGAGUAAUCUUGAGUGGAGCCAAAACUACAAUCCAUACAUGAUCAACGAUUCAACGUAUUUGUUAUUUUUGUUGUUGCUUGGAAUUUUUAAUUUGAUUAAUUCAUUUAAAACAAUUUUUUUUUUGAAGAAAUAAAUAUUUGUUGUUGGUUGGAAAUUAGGUAGCACGUAUUCAUAUUAAAAAAAAAGCAUCGAAGGGAUGUUUAAGAGUACUUUUUCAAGGGGCAGUUUAUUAUUAUGAGUCAAGCAAAUGUGUUUUAUUAACAGGUGUUAUUGUGUUAAAUAUUAUUAUUUGUACUUAACAAAAAGUGCAUUAACAAUCUGUUUUGUUGUAUUGUUGAUGUUGAUAUUUCAUUGACAUUAAUGUACAUACCAUUUUCUUAAAUGGUUAAAUUUAGGUUUACUUGUAAAUUUAGACUUUGAUUAAAGCUAAAAUUUAGUCAAUUUUAUUAAAAACUCUUUUGAUAAAAGUUGUUUUAAAAAUAGUCAAUUUUAUUAAAAACUCCUUUGAUAAAAAGGAAAAAAAAAAAAGAAGUAAACUUUAAAAAUGUUUCAAAAACACUUUUUUGGGAACGCUAACUUUGGUUCAAAGUUAUUUAUGCAAGCCUUUGAAAAAUUAUACUAAAAUUCAUAAUUUAGAAAAUAUCAGUUAGAUAUUUGAACUUUCAAAAUUUGUAUUUAAUAAGGUAAUGGACAUAUUCAAUACCUUUUUUUUUAAUCUAUUUGAUUUCGUUAAUAAACUAUUUAUUCAAUACAAAUUGAAGCACUUAUUAACACUCUAAUGUUCAUAAACCCCUAUUCAACACAAACAAAUUAACCAUUUUUUAAAAAUAUUUUCCCCUCUAAUACAAUAUUUGUUUAAUACAUAAUGAACUUAUAACAGGCUCUUAGUUGGAGCAAUUCAGCUUCCUUCUCAUAGUUUCUCCAGUGGAAAAGCACAAAUCAAACUCGAAUUCUAACAUGUUAAAAAUACAAACAAGAAACUGAUCGAAGCUAAACUCAUAAUCCACUGCUAAAUUUCAUUGUUUCAGUCUAUACAAACCGGUUUUGUCCAGCAUCCUUCAUAACAUUUUAAGUUGUU